UACGUAGGGUGCAAGCGUUGUCCGGAAUUAUUGGGCGUAAAGAGCUCGUAGGCGGUCUGUCGCGUCGAAUGUGAAAACCCGGGGCUCAACCCCGGGCCUGCAUUCGAUACGGGCAGACUAGAGUUCGGUAGGGGAGUCUGGAAUUCCUGGUGUAGCGGUGAAAUGCGCAGAUAUCAGGAGGAACACCGGUGGCGAAGGCGGGACUCUGGGCCGUGACUGACGCUGAGGAGCGAAAGCCAGGGGAGCAAACGGG
rnacentral:rRNA from 1 species